rnacentral:rRNA from 1 species
UACGGAGGGUGCAAGGCGUUAGUCCGGACUUCAUUUGGGUUUAAAGGGUGGCGCAGGCGGGACAUUAAGUCAGGGGUGAAAGACGGUUGCUACAACAAUCGCAGUGGCCUUUGAUACUGGUGUUCUUGGGUGACCUUGAGGUAGGGCGGAAUGGGUGGUGUAGCGGUGAAAUGCAUAGAUACCACCCAGAACUCCGAUUGCGAAGCAGCCUACUGGAGGUUUACCGACGCUCAGGCACGAAAGCGUGGGGAUCAAACAGG